UCUGGGUACCUUUUAAUCCUAAUUCCUUUAGCUUCUCCGAGAGUGGCAUGACAGGUUCAGUAACAAUAUAGAUGGUAACCUUGGUAGUAGAACCAUCAAAAUUUUCUGCUUCGGUGCUGUGAAGAAAUGACAAAAUAUUUGGAUGCCUAACCUUAAUUUUCUCAAAGAGAUUCUUGAGAUAGUAGAGCUUCUUGCUGAUAACGUGUUAUGAAAUAAUAUAAAAGACAAGAACAAUAAUGCAAGAACAAGAGCA
rnacentral:lncRNA from 1 species